UCGUCUAGUCACGACUAGCUAGCGCGGAUGCGCGACUACGCCAGUGCACGCACCGAGACCACUGUUCUCAAGUAGUCCCCAUUUAUUUAUUCACUUCAGCUGUUUAAAGUAUGUAUUUCCAGUUUAUCUCUCCACGUGGUACUCUUGUCUCUGAAAUCUUCCUACACUCAUUCAUUUCUCUCCCCUUUAGCAGUUCGCAUGGUAAUACUGACAGUGUGAGCGAAGUAUCCAGGAUGGGUGGAUAUCCCGUGAAAUGGCAGUUUUCUUGAAAAUAUUCCUAUAUCAGUUUCAAAACUAAUUAGCCUUGAGUUUAAAAUGGUGGUUCCCAACCUUUUCACUACCAAAGAUCCUUGUUAUUUAAAUGAGUUUCCCCCCACAGGUUGGCAAAUGGUUUAAAAUAUGUGCAAGAACAACAGUUGUUUUUAAUCAAGUUUUGUUUUCAAUUUCCAAAUCUCAGUUGAAUUAAAUUCACCUCAAAUUCAGAUCUCACGAGAUUAGCUUUGUGCAACUAAUUUUAAAGAUAUAUACACUUGGUGUUUUCAUUAUCUCCCCUCUCUCCUACUGAGGUAACCAUGUAUCUAAAAGACAUUUCUGUCCCUCUGUGCACACUCUUCUUAUCACCUGGUACAAAACCCUGAAUACACCCACCCCCCAUUCAGUUGAAGGGUAAGUUACUUGGUGACCUCAGUGUUGCCACAUAAAAAGCACCCGGGACAUUCUGUAAAGUGGCUGGCAUUAGGAAGGGCAUCCAGCUGUAGAAAUGCCAAUCUAAACAGUAGAGCUUGGCAGUAUUCUGGCUUACCAGCUCUUAUCAGAACGUCCAACCCGUGCCAGCAUGGAAAGAGGACGUUAGAUAAAGAUGAAUUACUGAAACCAGUAAAGGAAUGUAAGAUACUAAUAAUUGUUUUCUUUUCCUCUACUAUUACAAAUAUUUCAACCACUACUCUGUUGAAAUAGUUGUCCAUGGAAGAGAAUCAGCUUAACAAUGAUGCUAUAUCUAUACAUGUCGCGAGCAUUGCCAUGCUGAUUUUGUCAAUUUAAUAUCUUUUACUACGCUCUUAUCACUGUGAUAGAUUCCACUUAUUUUCAUUUUUGAUCUGUCUCUCUUUCUGGCCGGGUAACCAUGUACCUCUGCAGCAAGACACCUAUUUCUGUCUCACUAUAUAACCUUUCAUCAGCUGACACAAGAUCACCUCCUCCAAUACUCCUUCCCUUCUCAAAGGAUCUUUAUCUUGCAAGUUACUUGGUGGCCCUGCCAGUGCUGAUGCCACAUAAAAAGCAUUCAGUCCACAGUGUAAAGUGAUUGGCAUUUGGAAAGGCAUCUAGCUGUAUAAAGACCAUGCCAAAACCGAUCUCGCCUGUGCUUUUGCUAAUUAAAAAGCACUCGGUCCAUUCUACUGGGUGGUUGGUGUUAGGAAGAGCAUCCAGCUGUAAAAUCCCGGCCAAAACAGACACAAGCCUGGUGCAGACUCCUGACAAACUGUCCAACCCAUGCUAGCAUGGAAGGUGGAUAUUAAACGAUGUUGAUGCUUUCAUGCUGAGAACAAUGAUGCAUUAAAUGUUUGUUUGCAGUUUCUACCAGAGAUGUAUUCUGUGAUAGUCACCUUUUCUUGGAUGGCUAAAUUCUCUUCAGCAGCAGUUCAUUUUUUUUAACCACUUUUUGCCUUAUUUCUACACAGUUCCUUUAUAUUUUCAAACUCUCCCUUCACUGCUACUGGAAAAAUAUAUCUAGUGCCAUUAUAGUAUUAAAUUUUACUCAUAUUUCAUGUUUUUCCUAUUUAACUAUAUGAGUAUAUUUCCAUUCCAAUGGUGGAUUCUUUAUUGGUUUUAAUGAUGAAUAUCCAGUUGUUUGAUCAACUAAAUUCCUACUUGUGAAAUGAAAGACCCUUCAUACAAUUCUCAAGCUAGAUCUUUGAAUUACCGGUACAAUCCUGUGAAGUAGGAUUUUGCUUCCUUGGUGUGUGCAUUGGUUGUCUUUGAGCAGUUAAGUAAGGCAUCUUUUCUUAACAUUUUUCUGGAAAGGUGUCUGUUUGCAUAUGGAUGAUGCCUGUGUGUAGAGAUUUAAAGCAUGAAGAGUGGGCAUUGUUAGGUGACAUCUACAUUGAUCACUUGUCAGUUUCCAUUAAGUUAUAUGUAGAUAGCCACAACUGCAGUCUCUUUGACCUGUCAGUUCAGUCUCUACAAUUGUACCUGAAAGAAUAUUACAUAAGAGAAGCUUUUGGUAUCUUAAUAGGAUUUUUAUAGAAACUUAUAGUAAUUAUGUUAAUUUACUGAAAGAAUUGUGAGGUUACUUUUGAGCAUCAGAAAUCUGGAGUAGAUGACUGCAGUAACAUGGCCAUGUAGUAAGUAGAUAACUGUUGGGUUUGAUGGAAAGGUCUCCUAAUAAGAAUUAAGCGAAGAUGCAGUGGUGUUGAUUGGAGAAAAUGAGUAACUAUCAAUUGAAAUAUGGAGAUUUUUGCAAUUCACUGGAAAAUAUUGUUAUAAAGAGUUAUACUUUUAGAUAUUUAGUUGUCAUCGUUUUACAUCUGCUUUCUAUGCUGGCAUUUAAAUCAGGUUUCCUACAUCCUAAUCUCUUCUGAAAUUAUAUGGAUUCUAAAUGCAACUCAUCAGUAUAAAAUAUUGAUUUAGUGAGAAUUAAAGUAAAAAUAAAUAAAAAUCCUUUUUAAUAAUAUUAGCAAUAUAUGCAUGAUAAAAGCAUGCUAACAGUUGUGUGUAUUCGUUUUGUGUUAAUAUCUGAACUGUAAAGGGCUGCAGGACAGGAGUAAACUACCAGUAAUGUAUCAUUUAAGUUUUGGAAAAGUUUUUACUGCAUUUCAGAGUAUAGGAUACAGUGCAAAUUCACAUAAUUAUGUGAUGCCAGUUGAAUUGCAAUUAUGUUUGUGUUGGAGGGGUAUAAGGGUUGGUGGCAAAAGGUGCAUCCAGCUGUAAAAAUCCUGCCUCAAAAGUUUUUGUCUAAGUCAUGCUAACAUGUAGAAUGAAUAAUGUAAUACUUUGAACAUCACAAUUAUAACUGCAUCUCUGUUUGAAAUGAAGUUUCUGUAACAGUGAAAAACCUGCUCCAGUUCUUUUUUCUAAAUAAUACAUUCACUCUCACUUGCCAUCAUUUCUCUAGUUAGACGUUGACAUAUAAAUGGAAGGUUAGAUGAUAAAAGAAACAAGCUCAAACAUUUUCCAUUGCUAAUAUUUUACUUGCCACAAGUAAUUGGAAGCAAAAGAGGCAGAAAAAUUUGUAUUUAGUUUUACAUUGAAUAAAAAUUCUAUACAAGCCUCCAUUUGAAACAGCAUUGAAUAUAAUGUUCAAACAUAUUACAAAGACAUGCUAUCAGCUUCAAAAUAUUUUGUAGCACUUAAAACUAAUAUGCAUUUCCAUAACUGUCCUGGUUUACCAAUUGAAAAAUCAGUAUAUUUCUAGGCUUUCCAUAAAGACCAAUAUAUCUAUAACAUUGAAUAUCAAAGAUUUUAUUGAAGCAUAUAUUACCAGAUGUUGUUUCUGAUUAUGCAAUAGGCUUAACACAUUUUGCCUAAUGCUAGGAUAUCUUGAAAUAUAUACUGGACAUUUUAAGCCCAAAGUUACUGUUGAAAGAAGCAGAGUAGAUUGUUUCUGACCUUAAUAUACAUUUAAAAAAUAGGGACAAGUUGGUAGCUGCUCAGAUUUGUUUUAAAAUUGGUAAAAUGGAAAGAAAAGUGUUAAUGAGAACAAUGGAAGUCUUGAAAAUUCAUACUGAGACUUUUACUUGUGCACAUUAUCAAAUGCUGGGGUUGCUAUUGUGUAAGAUAUAUUUGUAACAGCACAUUCAGCAUAUCAUCCAGCAGAGAGACUGCUUGGAGUUGAAAAUUCAAGAAUCUAACAAAGACAAGAUUGACAUAAUUCUGGAUGAAUUGGCUGCAUUCCCUUCUGGCUUUCAUAAAAUAUAUACUGCCUAUAUUCAAUCGAAUAAAUCCACACUGAAUUCUUUAACAUAGUACAAAGAAAUCGAUAAUUAUAGUGGAUAUUAUUAAUUACCAUUAAAAAUAAGCGUUAGGUCAUGAGAUUUCAUUACUAGUUGCGAAUUAGGUUAACUGAAAAGUUUUAAUAUUCAAUGUAAUACACACAUACAUAUAUAUAUAUAUGUGCAUGUAUCAAUUGUGAAGUGUUGUUGCUUUAUAGUAAAAUAAACCAACACGGCUGCUGAAAUAGUAUAGCAGUAGACUAACAAUUAACAGUCUAAAAGAUGGCAAAUUACAAGGGAAGAUAGUCUUUAGUUCAUUGUCUCGGUUGUAAUAUUACAACUGAGACUUUUUUUUUCUUUUUAGUGUGAAAAAGUUCAUGUAAUUUAUACUAUGUUCUUGAUGGUAACUUUGAAUACUUAUACGAAUUUCUUAGUAUCUUCUCGGUUGAUCAUUUCCAAA